UACAGAGGGUGCGAGCGUUAAUCGGAAUUACUGGGCGUAAAGCGUGCGUAGACGGUUAUUUAAGUCGGGUGUGAAAGCCCCGGGCUCAACCUGGGAACCGCGCUCGAGACUGGCACGCUAGAGUUCGGGAGAGGAUGGUGGAAUUCCCAGUGUAGAGGUGAAAUUCGUAGAUAUUGGGAAGAACACCGAUGGCGAAGGCAGCCAUCUGGACCGACACUGACGCUGAGGCACGAAAGCGUGGGGAGCAAACAGG
rnacentral:rRNA from 1 species